UUUUGGACAAUGGGCGAAAGCCUGAUCCAGCAAUGCCGCGUGCAGGAAGAAGGCCUUCGGGUUGUAAACUGCUUUUGUACGGAACGAAACGGUCUGCCCUAAUACGGCGGGCUAAUGACGGUACCGUAAGAAUAAGCACCGGCUAACUACGCGCCAGCAGCCGCGGUAAUACGUAGGGUGCGAGCGUUAAUCGGAAUUACUGGGCGUAAAGCGUGCGCAGGCGGUUAUGUAAGACAGUUGUGAAAUCCCCGGGCUCAACCUGGGAAUUGCAUCUAUGACUGCAUAGCUAGAGUACGGUAGAGGGGGAUGGAAUUCCGCGUGUAGCAGUGAAAUGCGUAGAUAUGCGGAGGAACACCGAUGGCGAAGGCAAUCCCCUGGAGCCUGUACUGACGCUCAUGCACGAAG
rnacentral:rRNA from 1 species